rnacentral:rRNA from 1 species
CGGGUGGCAGCAGUGGGGAAUUUUGGACAAUGGGGGCAACCCUGAUCCAGCCAUUCCGCGUGAGUGAAGAAGGCCUUCGGGUUGUAAAGCUCUUUCAGCAGGAACGAAACGGUGGUCCUUAAUACGGGCUACUAAUGACGGUACCUGAAGAAGAAGCACCGGCUAACUACGUGCCAGCAGCCGCGGUAAUACGUAGGGUGCGAGCGUUAAUCGGAAUUACUGGGCGUAAAGCGUGCGCAGGCGGUUCCAUAAGACAGAUGUGAAAUCCCCGGGCUUAACCUGGGAACUGCGUUUGUGACUGUGGGACUUGAGUGUGGCAGAGGGGGGUGGAAUUCCACGUGUAGCAGUGAAAUGCGUAGAGAUGUGGAGGAACACCGAUGGCGAAGGCAGCCCCCUGGGUCAACACUGACGCUCAUGCACGAAAGCGUGGGGAGCAAACAGGAUUAGAUACCCUGGU